rnacentral:tRNA from 1 species
UUAAUUGAAACCAAAAAGAGGUAUUUCACUGUUAAUGAUUCUAAUGAGUUUAACUCCAAUUAAA